rnacentral:rRNA from 1 species
GAUGAACGCUGGCGGCGUGCCUAAUACAUGCAAGUCGAGCGAACGGACGAGAAGCUUGCUUCUCUGAUGUUAGCGGCGGACGGGUGAGUAACACGUGGAUAACCUACCUAUAAGACUGGGAUAACUUCGUGAAACCGUAGCUAAUACCGGAUAAUAUUUUGAACCGCAUGGUUCAAAAGUGAAAGACGGUCUUGCUGUCACUUAUAGAUGGAUCCGCGCUGCAUUAGCUAGUUGGUAAGGUAACGGCUUACCAAGGCAACGAUGCAUAGCCGACGUGAGAGGGGGAUCGGCCACACUGGAACUGAGCCACGGUCCAGACUCCUACGGGAGGCAGCAGUAGGGAAUCUUCCGCAAUGGGCGAAAGCCUGACGGAGCAACGCCGAGUGAGUGAUGAAGGUCUGCGGAUCGUAAAACUCUGUUAUUAGGGAAGAACAUAUGUGUAAGGAACUGUGCACAUCUUGACGGUACCUAAUCAGAAAGCCACGGCUAACUACGUG